rnacentral:rRNA from 1 species
AGCGAACGCUGGCGGCAGGCCUAACACAUGCAAGUCGAACGAAGUCUUCGGACUUAGUGGCGGACGGGUGAGUAACACGUGGGAACGUACCUUUUGGUUCGGAACAACUCAGGGAAACUUGAGCUAAUCCCGGAUGAGCCCUUAGGGGGAAAGAUUUAUCGCCGAAAGAGCGGCCCGCGUUAGAUUAGCUAGUUGGUGAGGUAAAGGCUCACCAAGGCUACGAUCUAUAGCUGGUCUGAGAGGAUGAUCAGCCACACUGGGACUGAGACACGGCCCAGACUCCUACGGGAGGCAGCAGUGGGGAAUCUUGCACAAUGGGCGAAAGCCUGACGCAGCCAUGCCGCGUGAAUGAUGAAGGUCUUAGGAUUGUAAAAUUCUUUUACCAGGGACGAUAAUGACGGUACCUGGAGAAAAAGCCCCGGCUAACUUCGUGCCAGCCGCCGCGGUAAUAC